UACGGAGGGUGCAAGCGUUAUCCGGAUUCACUGGGUUUAAAGGGUGCGUAGGAGGGCAGGUAAGUCAGUGGUGAAAUCUCCGAGCUUAACUCGGAAACUGCCGUUGAUACUAUCUGUCUUGAAUACCGUGGAGGUGAGCGGAAUAUGUCAUGUAGCGGUGAAAUGCUUAGAUAUGACAUAGAACACCAAUUGCGAAGGCAGCUCACUACACGAGCAUUGACGCUGAGGCACGAAAGCGUGGGGAUCAAACAGG
rnacentral:rRNA from 1 species